CGCCCCCCCUUGGGUUGUGCCGUGGCGGAGAUUUUUGUGGGCUAUACUCGGCCUUGUCUCAGGAUGGUAAGUUGGUGUUUGAAGAUAUCCCUCUAGUGGUGUGGGGGCUGUGCUUUGGCAAAGUGGGUGUGGUUAUAUCCUUCCUGUUUGGCCCUGUCCGGGGGUAUCAUCAGAUGGGGCCACAGUGUCUCCUGAUCCCUCCUGUCUCAGCCUCCAGUAUUUAUGCUGCAGUAGUUUAUGUGUUGGGGGACUAGGGUCAGUCUGUUAUAUCUGGAGUAUUUCUCCUGUCUUAUCCUGUCACGGUUUUCAUCGGUAAUGGAGGACCAAAACGCAGCAGGACCUGAGCCCUAGGACCAUGCCUCAGGACUACCUGACAUGAUGACUCCUUGCUGUCCCCAGUCCACCUGGUCGUGCAGCUGCUCCAGUUUCAACUGUUCUGCCUAUGGAACCCUGACCUGUUCACCGGACGUGCUACUGUAACAGUGGGGAGAGAGUCUCCGCCAGGAAUUUACGACCUGAGAUAACAGAACCUGGGUGUAGGAGAGAGCGAGAGAGGCUGGAAGCCACGAUCUACACCCAGAAAGGGCCACGUCAUGACAGCAUUCAGCUGUACAACUGACUAGGACCUGAGCCCUAGGACCAUGCCUCAGGACUACCUGACAUGAUGACUCCUUGCUGUCCCCAGUCCACCUGGCCGUGCUGCUGCUCCAGUUUCAACUGUUCUGCCUGCGGCUAUGGAACCCCGACCUGUUCACCGGACGUGCUACCUGUCCCAGACCUGCUGUUUUCAACUCUCUAGAGACAGCAGGAGCGGUAGAGAUACUCUCAAUGAUCGGCUAUGAAAAGCCAACUGACAUUUACUCUUGAGGUGCUGACUUGUUACACCCUCGACAACUACUGUGAUUAUUAUUAUUUGACCAUGCUGGUAAUUUAUGAACAUUUGAACAUCUUGGCCAUGUUCUGUUAUAAUCUCCACCCGGCACAGCCAGAAGAGGACUGGCCACCCCUCAUAGCCUGGUUCCUCUCUAGGUUUCUUCCUAGGUUUUGGCCUUUCUAGGGAGUUUUUCCAAGCCACCGUGCUUCUACACCUGCAUUGCUUGCUGUUUGGGGUUUUAGGCUGGGUUUCUGUACAGCACUUUUAGAUAUCAGCUGAUGUAAGAAGGGCUAUAUAAAUACAUUUGAUUUGAUUUGAUUUAGUUCUUGGAAUGCCGUACACCUGAUCAAAGAACCAUACAGAGCAGGAUUGGUAGCCUGAUCAAAGAACCAUACGAGCAGGAUUGGUAGCCUGAUCAAAGAACCAUACAGAGCAGGAUUGGUAGUAAGGAAAAUGGCACUGCGUUCCUCUCAUCGCACAAAGCUUUUGAUCAUUAAAUCAUAUGAUUUAUCUACGAGUGCAUCUAUCCCAGAUUAUUCUAUUCAGAUAUAUUAUGAAUAAAAGGGUUCCUCAUUUGUGAAUCACUUUCUAGUUGGUUGGUGACUCCGAUGCGGUGUCUGGGAAUGGCUGUGUGGCUUUCUGUUCGACUGGAGAUAGUUACUGAGGGUUUCAAAAUCAUACAGAUUGUAAUGUCCCAGUUGUCAUUGUCCCCAAUGCAAUGGUUAGCUUGUUUGCACCAACAUGUUUUCCUUCUUCAUUGUCUAUUCUUUUUGAUGUUCCAAUGCCCACAAAAUGUGUACACCUAUAAACAUAGGAAUUCACAGUCCACUUGGUUCUAAUACAGUUUGAAAUAUUGUAACAUUGCAAGAGUUGGAUUUUGAACUGAAGCAGGAAGAAUCACCACGGGGUUGUAUAGUGAAAAAGGAAUAUUCUGAAACAAACUGUUUCUACCUCUAAUGAUGACAACAAAGCCUGAGCUUCAGGACCUGUGUGAUGUUCAGUUAUAGAGAGAGAGAUAAAGAGAGAGAUCUGCUUUGAUGUAGAGACACAUGAAAGAGUCUCUCCCCACCAGGGUGGGUGUCCCUGUGCCAUACCUCAGGACAGCAAUCAGUAGAAAUCUCUCUCUCUCUCUCUCUCUCUCUCUCUCUCUCUCUCUCUCUCUCUCUCUCUCUCUCUCUCUCUCUCUCUCUCUCUCUCUCUCUCUCUCUCUCUCUCUCAUAUAUUUAAGGGCAUACAUUUCCAAAACAAGGGGAAUAGAUAAUAAACAAAAGUGAAAUAAACAACACAAAUGUUUAUAGUAAACAUUACACUCAAAAAUGUUCCAGAAGAAUAAAGACAUUUCAAAUGUAAUACUAUGUGCAAAUAGUUAAAGUACAAAAGGGAAAUAAAUAAACAUAAAUAUGGGUUGUAUUUACAAUUGUGCUGGUUCUUCACUGUUUGCCCUUUUCUUGUGGCAACAGGUCACAAAUCGUGUUGCUGUGAUGGCACACUGUGGUAUUUCACCCAGUAGAUAUGGGAGUUUAUUUUCUAAUUCUUUGUGGGUCUGUGUAAUCUGAGGGACAUAUGUAUCUCUAAAAUGGUCAUACAUUUGAUAUGAGUUUAGGAAGUACAACUAAGUUUUCACCUCAUUUUGUGGGAACCCCCUCUCUGGCGGUCUAGGUAGCCAGACUGCUCAUCAUUACACACACCUGUCAGCAUCGUCACACGCACCAGCGUGUCAUCGGACUCCGCUAUAUCUGUAACUUCCUCAGUUUCAUUCCCGUCUCUGCAUUGAUGUUGUUUUGGUUCUCUUAUCCAGACACUGUUCUUGUUUAG
rnacentral:lncRNA from 1 species